CAAAUUUCUGCCCUAUCAACUUUCGAUGGUAGGAUAGUGGCCUACCAUGGUUUUGACGGGUAACGGGGAAUUAGGGUUCUAUUCCGGAGAGGGAGCCUGAGAAACGGCUACCACAUCCAAGGAAGGCAGCAGGCGCGCAAAUUACCCAAUCCCAAUACGGGGAGGUAGUGACAAUAAAUACUGAUACAGGGCUCUUUUGGGUCUUGUAAUUGGAAUGAGAACAAUUUAAAUCCCUUAACGAGGAACAAUUGGAGGGCAAGUCUGGUGCCAGCAGCCGCGGUAAUUCCAGCUCCAAUAGCGUAUAUUAAGUUGUUGCAGUUAAAAAGCUCGUAGUUGAACUUUGGGUCUGGCUGAUCUGUCCUCCUAAUCGAGCGCACGGAUUCGGUCGGACCUUUCCUUCUGGGGAACCUAUGCCCUUCACUGGGCGUAGUGGGGAACCAGGACUUUUACCUUGAAAAAAUUAGAGUGUUCAAAGCAGGCCUUUGUCGAAAUACAUUAGCAUGGAAUAAUAGAAUAGGACAUCGGGUCU
rnacentral:rRNA from 1 species